rnacentral:ncRNA from 1 species
GGGGCCGGUGGGCCACUGACCUCCCCAAAGAACCGGGGGAAAGAACUACCCGCCCGCCCACCCUCCCCGCCGGAAGGCCCGCGUCACCCGUGCGAGUGACUGGCUUGCAGGUGCGGGAAUCGGGCGGUUACGUUCGCCGCAGCAACCGCAGACACAUGCGGCCCCCGCCCGGGAUUCGCCGUCCCGGAACGAGGGCCUCACCGAUCAGGAAGCAGAACCUUCCCG